rnacentral:rRNA from 1 species
UAAGGAAUAUUGGUCAAUGGACGCAAGUCUGAACCAGCCAUGCCGCGUGAAGGAUGAAGGUCCUCUGGAUUGUAAACUUCUUUUAUCUGGGACGAAAACGGGAUUUUUAUCUCAAUUGACGGUACCAGAGGAAUAAGCACCGGCUAACUCCGUGCCAGCAGCCGCGGUAAUACGGAGGGUGCGAGCGUUAUCCGGAUUUACUGGGUUUAAAGGGUGCGUAGGUGGGCUUAUAAGUCAGUGGUGAAAUCUCCGAGCUUAACUUGGAAACUGCCGUUGAUACUAUAGGUCUUGAAUUAUCUGGAGGUAAGCGGAAUAUGUCGUGUAGCGGUGAAAUGCAUAGAUAUGACAUAGAACACCGAUUGCGGAGGCAGCUUGCUACGCAAAUAUUGACGCUGAGGCACGAAAGCGUGGGGAUCAAACA